rnacentral:misc_RNA from 1 species
CCUCGCCUAUCCCAAUGAAGUGGCGAGGACGCGGCUACGGCAGGAAGGCGACAAGUACCGCUCCUUCUUCCAGACGCUGUUUCUGGUGUGGCGCGAAGAGGGCUACCAGGGCCUGUACCGGGGCCUUGCGACGCAGCUCGUCCGCCAGAUCCCCAACACGGCCAUCAUGAUGGCCACCUACGAGGCGGUCGUCUACAUGCUCUCGCCGGCCGUGUACGGCGCCUCUCCCGCGAACGACGACUGAAGUUCCUCCCGUCCUGGUGCGAUGGCACUGCAGAUCUCGAGCGCUGGGCACGUGCUUUUUUUUUUUUUUUGGCCAGAGUUGUUUUUCUUUCUUAAUUGUUAGCCUUAGUACCGUCUCUGUGCCGUUUAGGCAUUUACAAGUUGUCCAGAAAAGAGUCGACUGGCGAAAACAACUUUUUAAUUGAUUAUACUGAGGAUACUAGAAUUCUUUAUUGUUCGUGAGUGCCUGUGAACCUUUGGACAGGUCGUUCUAAAGGCUUCAGCGUACCUGAAGUGAACCGCAAUGGAUUGCAGUCACGAUAUGGAUUCUUUUUGUUUGCUUUCCCGUACUCUGGUCAUAAUGGCGAGCCCGGCCACA